UGUGCUCUUCUCCUCCAGGGUUGCUGUUCACUGUCUCCAUAAGGUGGCUCAAUCCCACAAUAGCUAAGUGCAACUAGGUUCUCUCAGAUGGCUUGGGAUGUGUAGGCCCCUGUUUUGGUAUCUUCCAUGGGCCCGCCCACCAACAGCGUUGGCUCGCAGUUUCAUUAGUGCUGCUACUUGGGAGUAAAGUGAGUGACUGCUGCUUUGUUGUCUAGUCAUUCCUGUCAUUACGAAUUGUAAAUAUCUUUGAGUGAUUGUUGAUUUACAUUUUUCAACUAUCAUAUGCCAGAUGUUAUAUUUAAUCACUUGUUCUUUGUCUCCUAUAUUUUCUUACUAAAUUUCCCAUGUACGAGUCUGGAUAUUAAUCAUUCAUUGGAUAUUAAUUUUUUCACCCAAGUAUCUUUAUGUUUUUGUAGAUAAUUCACUGAGAAAGUUUUUAUGUAAUGUAAUAAAAUCAUUAAUUUCUC